CCUACGGUGGGCUGCAGUGAGGAAUAUUGGUCAAUGGCCGAGAGGCUGAACCAGCCAAGUCGCGUGAGGGAAGACGGCCCUACGGGUUGUAAACCUCUUUUGUCGGGGAGCAAAGCGAACCACGGGGGGUUCAUGGAGAGUACCCGAAGAAAAAGCAUCGGCUAACUCCGUGCCAGCAGACGAUGUAAUACGGAGGAUGCGAGCGUUAUCCGGAUUUAUUGGGUUUAAAGGGUGCGCAGGCGGAAGAUCAAGUCAGCGGUAAAAUCGAGAGGCUCAACCUCUUCUAGCCGUUGAAACUGGUUUUCUUGAGUGAGUGAGAAGUAUGCGGAAUGCGUUGUGUAGCGGUGAAAUGCAUAGAUAUCACGCAGAACUCCGAUUGCGAAGGCAGCAUACCGGCGCUCAACUGACGCUCAUGCACGAAAGUGUGGGUAUCGAACAGGAUUAGAUACCCCUGUAGUC
rnacentral:rRNA from 1 species